UAGAUAAAAAGCACUAGCCUAUUUAACGGAGAAACUUAAGUAUCCAUGUAUGUAAUUAAGAUAUUGCAGGCGAGGAAAAGGAUGAUUCAACUACUCAAGUUCAGAAAUAUAAUGGAUUCAACCUUGGUUGACCAUAAUGAUGAAGAGAAGACCACAGCUACUCAUGAGUCCUGACUUGUUUAUGGUUGACACCAAAAACAAAUACCAACAUAUAUCUGUUUAAACA